GAUUUUAUUAGAUUUUUAAAAUCAGAGAAAAAAAAAAUGAAAAAAAAAAGAUUUUGAUUUAGUCUUCCUACCCCAAAGUUAAUUAGCCCAAAUUCAUGACUCAAAUCCCUUCAAGCCCAAACAUUGAGCCCACAUUCCUACCCCUAUAAAAUAAGACUUAACUUCUAAAAUAAAAAAAUACCAUAGAUCCCUAAGCAAAAAUCCGCCGUUUUUGGACCUACACAAGAGAGACCCCCCUUUCUUCACAAAAAAACCUUCCUUCUCCAAUCUGCCACGAACAAAAUGAAUUAAUCAGCAAUACUACACCUUCAAUCUCAAAACCUAGCUCCCCACCCUAGCUUCGAACGAAAUCAGCCGCAAACAACCACUAAUAGCAACCCACUUCUGCCAUCUUCCGACUCCCAGCACAUCCAACAAUAUAGUAACCCAUCAAUUUAGCAAAUUGGCCAACGAGCUGCCCAACUGCAUCUGGUGCCACCGAUACAAAUACUUUUUCUCCUUUCUUUGCUUUAGCAACUUCAUGAAAUCCAGCAUAAGUCGUUAAACCAGUCAUCCCUAAUUAAGUUUGAUGUGCCGUCGGGGUUCAAAAUUCGCAUGUUGGUCCUUGUCUUUGGAUUUUGUAGCAAUUGGUUGAGCUUUGAGCAUUGUCUUCAAGUGUAUAACUUUUCGAACACCAAAUUGAGUGAUAGUUCAUCUCACAGGUUCAUCUGACUAUCAGACCGGUGUGCGUCCCUGAUCAUAGACCGAGACUUCCACGGUGAGCUGUUUCCCUGCCUGUGCCGAUCAACAGCUGGAUGGAGUAUUCCUUACUUUUGACUGUCUAUUCUGUUUCAGACAGUAGGAUAGAUGUAUUAUUUUGUAUAUUCUACUAGUUUUCCACGGUUUGUGACACCAGGUCUUGGCACACACAUUAGUAGACGUUUCUUUUGGAUUGUAUAAUUAUUACUGAAUGUGCCUGCUUUUAAUUGAAAAUUAAGAAAAAUGUUGUAA